AGAGUUUGAUCCUGGCUCAGGAUGAACGCUAGCUACAGGCUUAACACAUGCAAGUCGAGGGGCAGCAUGGUCUUAGCUUGCUAAGGCCGAUGGCGACCGGCGCACGGGUGAGUAACACGUAUCCAACCUGCCGUCUACUCUUGGACAGCCUUCUGAAAGGAAGAUUAAUACAAGAUGGCAUCAUGAGUCCGCAUGUUCACAUGAUUAAAGGUAUUCCGGUAGACGAUGGGGAUGCGUUCCAUUAGAUAGUAGGCGGGGUAACGGCCCACCUAGUCUUCGAUGGAUAGGGGUUCUGAGAGGAAGGUCCCCCACAUUGUAACUGAGACACGGUCCAAACUCCUACGGGAGGCAGCAGUGAGGAAUAUUGGUCAAUGGGCGAGAGCCUGAACCAGCCAAGUAGCGUGAAGGAUGACUGCCCUAUGGGUUGUAAACUUCUUUUAUAAAGGAAUAAAGUCGGGUAUGCAUACCCGUUUGCAUGUACUUUAUGAAUAAGGAUCGGCUAACUCCGUGCCAGCAGCCGCGGUAAUACGGAGGAUCCGAGCGUUAUCCGGAUUUAUUGGGUUUAAAGGGAGCGUAGAUGGAUGUUUAAGUCAGUUGUGAAAGUUUGCGGCUCAACCGUAAAAUUGCAGUUGAUACUGGAUAUCUUGAGUGCAGUUGAGGCAGGCGGAAUUCGUGGUGUAGCGGUGAAAUGCUUAGAUAUCACGAAGAACUCCGAUUGCGAAGGCAGCCUGCUAAGCUGCAACUGACAUUGAGGCUCGAAAGUGUGGGUAUCAAACAGGAUUAGAUACCCUGGUAGUCCACACGGUAAACGAUGAAUACUCGCUGUUUGCGAUAUACAGCAAGCGGCCAAGCGAAAGCGUUAAGUAUUCCACCUGGGGAGUACGCCGGCAACGGUGAAACUCAAAGGAAUUGACGGGGGCCCGCACAAGCGGAGGAACAUGUGGUUUAAUUCGAUGAUACGCGAGGAACCUUACCCGGGCUUAAAUUGCAGAUGAAUUACGGUGAAAGCCGUAAGCCGCAAGGCAUCUGUGAAGGUGCUGCAUGGUUGUCGUCAGCUCGUGCCGUGAGGUGUCGGCUUAAGUGCCAUAACGAGCGCAACCCUUGUUGUCAGUUACUAACAGGUUCCGCUGAGGACUCUGACGAGACUGCCAUCGUAAGAUGUGAGGAAGGUGGGGAUGACGUCAAAUCAGCACGGCCCUUACGUCCGGGGCUACACACGUGUUACAAUGGGGGGUACAGAGGGCCGCUACCACGCGAGUGGAUGCCAAUCCCAAAAACCUCUCUCAGUUCGGACUGGAGUCUGCAACCCGACUCCACGAAGCUGGAUUCGCUAGUAAUCGCGCAUCAGCCACGGCGCGGUGAAUACGUUCCCGGGCCUUGUACACACCGCCCGUCAAGCCAUGGGAGCCGGGGGUACCUGAAGUGCGUAACCGCGAGGAGCGCCCUAGGGUAAAACUGGUGACUGGGGCUAAGUCGUAACAAGGUA
rnacentral:rRNA from 1 species